UCCUGGGGUAGCUCAGUUGGUAGAGCACAAGACUCCUAAUCUCGGAGUUGUGGGUUCAAGCCCCACAUUGGGCA